UACGUAGGGGGCAAGCGUUGUCCGGAUUUAUUGGGCGUAAAGCGCGUGUAGGCGGCCACACAGGUCCGCUGUGAAAACUCGAGGCUCAACCUCGAGCUGUCGGUGGAAACCGUGUGGCUAGAGUCCGGAAGAGGAGACUGGAAUUCCCGGUGUAGCGGUGGAAUGCGCAGAUAUCAGGAGGAACACCGGUGGCGAAGGCGGGUCUCUGGGCCGAUACUGACGCUGAGGAGCGAAAGCGUGGGGAGCGAACAGG
rnacentral:rRNA from 1 species